rnacentral:rRNA from 1 species
AACGCGAAGAACCUUACCUGGGCUCGAAAUGUAGAGGAAGAUACCAGAGAUGGUAUUUCCCGAAAGGGUCUUUAUAUAGGUGCUGCAUGGCUGUCGUCAGCUCGUGCCGUGAGGUGUUUGGUUAAGUCCAGCAACGAGCGCAACCCUUAUCGUUAGUUGCCAACGCGUGAAGGCGGGAACUCUAACGAGACUGCCUGGGUUAACCAGGAGGAAGGUGAGGAUGACGUCAAGUCCGCAUGGCCUUUAUGUCCAGGGCUACACACGUGCUACAAUGGUCGGUACAGAAGGCUGCGAAACCGCAAGGCGAAGCAAAUCCCAAAAAACCGAUCUCAGUUCAGAUUGUAGUCUGCAACUCGACUACAUGAAGUUGGAAUUGCUAGUAAUGACGUGUCAGCAACAACGUCGUGAAUACGUUCCCGGGCCUUGUACACACCGCUAGUC